UACGAAGGGGGCUAGCGUUGUUCGGAAUUACUGGGCGUAAAGCGUGCGCAGGCGGCUUCUCAAGUCAGGGGUGAAAGCCCAGAGCUCAACUCUGGAAUUGCCUUUGAGACUGAGUGGCUUGAGUACGAGAGAGGUGAGUGGAAUUCCCAGUGUAGAGGUGAAAUUCGUAGAUAUUGGGAAGAACACCUGUGGCGAAGGCGGCUCACUGGCUCGUAACUGACGCUCAUGCACGACAGCGUGGGGAUCAAACAGG
rnacentral:rRNA from 1 species